GCCCCUCGGCGCUCCAUGCCAUGUGCGAUCUCUCACGGCUGGAUGCGGGCCUGGCCCUUCGAGUCCCUGAGCUCGGCGGGCCAAAGCGUUUGGCUUGCCCAUUGGGGCUGGCUGUGGCGAGUGGUGGAUCGAUCGCUCAGACGAGCCGUACGUCGCCCAGCUAGACCCCUCGGGUAUAUGGCCUUGUUGAAACCCCAGAAUAGCAGAUGCCGAAUGGCAUGGCGAAACC
rnacentral:misc_RNA from 1 species